rnacentral:rRNA from 1 species
AGAGUUUGAUCCUGGCUCAGGAUGAACGCUGGCGGCGUGCCUAAUACAUGCAAGUCGAGCGAGAAUCAGAAGACCGGAGAUUCGUCAAAGUGAUUCUGAGGAAAGCGGCGGACGGGUGAGUAACGCGUAGGCAACCUGCCCUUAGCAGAGGGAUAGCCAUUGGAAACGAUGAUUAAAACCUCAUAAUGCUGCAGUAACACAUGUUAUUGCAGCCAAAGAUUUAUCGGCUAAGGAUGGGCCUGCGUCUGAUUAACUAGUUGGUGAGGUAACGGCUCACCAAGGUGACGAUCAGUAGCCGACCUGAGAGGGUGAUCGGCCACAUUGGAACUGAGACACGGUCCAAACUUCUACGGAAGGCAGCAGUAAGGAAUCUUGCACAAUGGGGGAAACCCUGAUGCAGCAACGCCGCGUGAACGAUGAAGGCCUUAGGGUUGUAAAGUUCUGAUCUGGGGGAAGAAGAAGUGACGGUACCCCAGGAGAAAGCCCCGGCUAAAUACGUGCCAGCAGCCGCGGUAAUACGUAUGGGGCAAGCGUUAUCCGGAAUUAUUGGGCGUAAAGAGUGCGUAGGUGGUUACCUAAGCGCAAGGUUUAAUCUUGAGGCUCAACCUCAUUCUGCCUUGCGAACUGGGCUACUUGAGUGCAGGAGGGGAAAGCGGAAUUCCCAGUGUAGCGGUGAAAUGCGUAGAUAUUGGGAAGAACACCGGUGGCGAAGGCGGCUUUCUGGACUGUAACUGACACCGAGGCACGAAAGCGUGGGGAGCAAACAGGAUUAGAUACCCUGGUAGUCCACGCCGUAAACGAUGAGCACUAGUUGUUGGGUACGAAUGUAUUCAGUGACGCAGUUAACGCAAUAAGUGCUCCGCCUGGGGAGUACGGUGGCAACACUAAAACUCAAAGGAAUUGACGGGGACCCGCACAAGCAGCGGAGCAUGUGGUUUAAUUCGAAGCAACGCGAAAAACCUUACCAGGGCUUGACAUCCCUCUGACCGGUCCUUAACCGGACCUUUCUUCGGACAGAGGUGACAGGUGGUGCAUGGUUGUCGUCAGCUCGUGUCGUGAGAUGUUGGGUUAAGUCCCGCAACGAGCGCAACCCUUGUCGUCAGUUACUAACAUUAAGUUGAGGACUCUGACGAGACUGCCGAGGUCAACUCGGAGGAAGGUGGGGAUGACGUCAAAUCAUCAUGCCCCUUAUGUUCUGGGCUACACACGUACUACAAUGGCGGCUAACAGAGGGGUGCAAAGCGGCGACGCGGAGCGAAUCCCUAAAAACCGUCUCAGUUCAGAUUGCAGGCUGCAACCCGCCUGCAUGAAGUCGGAAUUGCUAGUAAUCGCGGAUCAGCAUGCCGCGGUGAAUACGUUCCCGGGCCUUGUACACACCGCCCGUCACACCAUGAGAGUCGGGAACACCCGAAGUCUGUACUCUAACCGCAAGGAGGAGGCAGCCGAAGGUGGGUUCGAUAAUUGGGGUGAAGUCGUAACAAGGUAACC